rnacentral:rRNA from 1 species
UACGUAGGGGGCGAGCGUUGUCCGGAUUUAUUGGGCGUAAAGAGCGUGUAGGCGGUUCGGUAAGUCUGUCGUGAAAUCCUGAGGCUCAACCUCGGGCGUGCGAUGGAUACUGCCGGGCUAGAGGGUGGUAGAGGCGAGUGGAAUUCCUGGUGUAGCGGUGGAAUGCGCAGAUAUCAGGAGGAACACCAAUAGCGAAGGCAGCUCGCUGGGACGUUUACUGACACUGAGGCGCGAAAGCGUGGGGGAGCGAACAGG